UUUUAGACUCUUAGACUUUUAAAUAAUCCUUUCUUCUUUGUUUUUUCUCCUUCCUUCCUUCCUUCCUUCCUUCCUUCCUUCCUUCCUUCCUUCCUUCCUUCCUUCCUUCCUUCCUUCCUUCCUUCCUUCCUUCCUUCCUUUCUUCCUUCCUUCCUUGCUUCCUUUCUUUCUUUCUUCCUUCCUUCCUUCCUUCUUUCCUUUCUUUCUUUCUUUCUUUCUUUCUUUCUUUCUUUCUUUCUUUCUUUCUUUCUUUCUUUCUUUCUUUCUUUCUUUCUUUCUUUCUUUCUUUCUUUCUUUCUUUCUCUCUUUCUUUCUUUCUUUCUUUCUUUCUUUCUUUCUUUCUUUCUCUCUUCCUUCCUCCCUCUUUUCUUUCUUCCUUCUUUCCUUUCUUUCCCUUCCAUUUUCCUCCCUUCCUUUCUCCUUCUUUCCCUUUUAUUCUUUCUCCCUUUCUUUCUUUCUCUUUCUCUUCUUCCUCCCUUCCUUCCUCCCUCUCUUCAUUUCUUUCCUUCUUUCCUUCCUUCCUUCUUUCUUUCUUUUUCCCUUCAUUUCAUUUUUCCUCCCUUCCUUUCUCCUUCCCUCCUUUUCAUUCUUUCUCCCUUUCUUUUUCUCUUCUUCCUUCCUUCCUCUCUCUCUCCCCCCUCUCCCUCUCUCUCUCUCUCUCUCUCUCUCUCUCUCUGUCUCUCUGUCUCUGUCUCUGUCUCUCUGUCUCUGUCUCUGUCUCUCUGUCUCUGUCUCUUUCUUUUUCUCUCCCUUCCUUUUUUCCUUCCUUCCAGCCCUGACUCCCUUGGGACACAGCCAAGCACCUGUCCUGGGUGACCCAUCACAAAAUAAACUUCAGUAAACUCCUUCAAUAUCCAACAAGCCUUUGGAAAUUUCCAUCAGAAGCAACCCUGGUCAGCUAGUCAGGGACAACAGAACAGGUCUGCUCCAAGGCUGUCUGGCACCUUCUCUGGCUAUCUCCUUGGAUGCUCUCCACAAUGACCUCGUUAAGCCUGCAGGCACUGUUGCCAUGGCCAGGGC
rnacentral:lncRNA from 1 species